rnacentral:rRNA from 1 species
ACUGCUCAGUAACACGUGGACAACCUACCCUUAGGCCUGGGAUAAACCUGGGAAACUGGGUAUAAUACCGGAUAGGUCUCGAAUGCUGGAAUGCAUCGAGACUGAAAGCUCCGGCGCCUAAGGAUGGGUCUGCGGCCUAUCAGGGUAGUAGUGGGUGUAAUGUACCUACUAGCCUACGACGGGUACGGGUCGUGAGAGUGAGAGCCCGGAGAUGGAUUCUGAGACACGAAUCCAGGCCCUACGGGGUGCAGCAGGCGCGAAAACUUUACAAUGCUGGAAACAGCGAUAGGGGGACUUUGAGUGCCAGGAUACAAUUCUGGCUGUCGUCGUGCCUAAAAAGCACGGCAUAGCAAGGGCCGGGCAAGACCGGUGCCAGCCGCCGCGGUAACACCGGCGGCUCGAGUGGUAACCGCUAUUAUUGGGUCUAAAGGGUCUGUAGCCGGCUGGAUAAGUCUCUUGGGAAAUCCGACAGCUUAACUGUCGGGCUUUCAGGAGAUACUGUCCGGCUCGAGACCGGGAGAGGUGAGAGGUACUUCAUGGGUAGGGGUGAAAUCUUGUAAUCCUUGAAGGACCACCAGUGGCGAAGGCGUCUCACCAGAACGGAUCUGACGGCAAGGGACGAAAGCUAGGGGCACGAACCGGAUUAGAUACCCGGGUAGUCCUAGCCGUAAACGAUACUCGCUAGGUGUCAGCCACGGUGCGACCGUGGUUGGUGCCGUAGGGAAGCCGUGAAGCGAGCCACCUGGGAAGUACGGCCGCAAGGCUGAAGCUUAAAGGAAUUGGCGGGGGAGCAC